rnacentral:lncRNA from 12 species
CUACAGGUACAGACUGUGUUUUGCCUGCUUCAGCAAUACUUUUAUCUAGGAAUUGUCUCUGUCAACUUCCCCCAUCAUCUGUGGGACACAAUGGGCUGAGGUCAGUCAGAAGAGAUGCAGCAGAGCUGGCCUAUAACCAGGUCUGGAGAGAUAUUACCAACUUGGCACAUGAAAAGGAAGAGGAAGGGGAAGAGGAAAGAAUGCAGUGCAUGUUUGCAUGUGAUCAUCUACAGUCCUG